AUGGCUUCAUCCGGUUCCAUGACGAGGCCACCGUGUGCUAACCAAGAAGACUUGCCGAACAAGUGGGAGGACGCAUCUUUGGACAAGGUGAAGGAGAAAGAUGUCAACAUCCCGCAAUGUUGGUGUGCAGAUGUUUGCAAGGUGAAGGUGUCCACCGACCGAAAGAAAGCAUGGACGGAAGGGCGGAGAUAUUUUGUAUGCCCGAACUAUGCUUAUGAUCGUGCACUUCCAACUAACGCCUAUGACCAACCACCGGUAAGCUCGAGAAGUAAAAUGUUACUCUGA
rnacentral:rRNA from 1 species